ACGCUCGACACCUACUGGAGGCAGCAGUGGGGAAUAUUGCACAAUGGGGGAAACCCUGAUGCAGCGACGCCGCGUGAGCGAAGAAGUAUUUCGGUAUGUAAAGCUCUAUCAGCAGGGAAGAAACUGACGGUACCUGACUAAGAAGCACCGGCUAAAUACGUGCCAGCAGCCGGGUAAUCUGAGCGGGCUGGCAAGGC
rnacentral:rRNA from 1 species